GAUGAAGAACGCAGCGAAAUGCGAUAAGUAAUGUGAAUUGCAGAAUUCAGUGAAUCAUCGAAUCUUUGAACGCACCUUGCGCUCCUUGGUAUUCCUUGGAGCAUGCCUGUUUGAGUAUCAUGAAAUCUUCAAAGUCAAACCUUUUGUUAAUUCAAUUGGUUCUGCUUUGGUAUUGGAGGAUUAUUGCAGCUUCACACCUGCUCCUCUUUGUGCAUUAGCUGGAUCUCAGUGUUAUGCUUGGUUCCACUCAGCGUGAUAAGUUAUCUAUCGCUGAGGACACCCUGUUAAAAAGGGGUGGCCAAGGUAAAUGCAGAUGAACCGCUUCUAAUAGUCCAUUGACUUGGACAAUAUCUAAUUUAUGAUCUGAUCUCAAAUCAGGUAGGACUACCCGCUGAACUUAAGCAUAUCAAUAAGCGGAGGA
rnacentral:misc_RNA from 1 species